GGACUACUGGGGUAUCUAAUCCCGUUUGCUCCCCACGCUUUCGCGCAUCAGCGUCAGUUCCGGUCCAGUGAGCCGCCUUCGCCACUGGUGUUCCUCCCAAUAUCUACGCAUUUCACCGCUACACUGGGAAUUCCACUCACCUCUCCCGGACUCAAGCCAAGCAGUUUGGAGGGCAGUUCCUCGGUUAAGCCGAGGGAUUUCACCUUCCACUUGCCAGGCCGCCUACGCGCCCUUUACGCCCAAUAAUUCCGAAUAACGCUUGCCCCCUCUGUAUUACCGCGGCGGCUGGCAC
rnacentral:rRNA from 1 species